CGCCUACGGGGCGCAGCAGUGGGGAAUAUUGGGCAAUGGGCGCAAGCCUGACCCAGCAACGCCGCGUGAAGGAAGAAGGCUUUCGGGUUGUAAACUUAUUUUGUCAGGGACGAAGCAAGCGACGGUACCUGACGAAUAAGCCACGGCUAACUACGUGCCAGCAGCCGCGGUAAUACGUAGGUGGCAAGCGUUAUCCGGAUUUACUGGGUGUAAAGGGAGCGUAGACGGCAGGGCAAGUCUGGAGUGAAAGGCGGGGGCUCAACCCCCGGACUGCUCUGGAAACUGCCAGGCUGGAGUGCAGGAGG
rnacentral:rRNA from 1 species